rnacentral:lncRNA from 1 species
GACAAUCCCAAGAUGCUGCCUGACUGGGUUAUGGACCUUCCUCCAGAGGAGCUGCAAAAAGCAGCGACACGAAGGUUGAAGUCAGUGAUGUCAAGAUAUGCAGGACAAUUAAUUGGGUGGGAUGUAGUGAAUGAGAAUCUGCAUUUCCGCUUCUUUGAGGAUAAACUUGGUGAAAAUGCCUCUUCAGCCUUCUACUCGAUGGCUUACCAUCUUGAACCAAAUACAACCCUUUUUAUGAAUGAGUAUAAUACAAUCGAAUACAGUAAGGAUCAGGCCGCUACUGCAUCAAAAUACAAGAAGAAACUUGAGGAGAUUCUGUCGUUUCCAGGAAACGCACACAUAAAGGCAGCAAUAGGAUUGGAAGGCCAUUUUAGUUCUGCCCAGCCCAACAUUGCUUACAUGAGAUCUUCCUUGGACAUUCUAAGAACAAUGGGAUUGCCUAUAUGGCUUACAGAAGUGGAUGUGGGUAAAGGACCAAAUCAGGUACUACAUUCCUUCAAGAAACUAAGACAAAAACAAGCACAAACAUUCACUAAUUAUCUUAAGUAGUAACUUGGAAUUCUGUUUUUUAUUACCAAUUUUGAACAGAGUUGAUACUCUGGUAUUUGUUCCUGGCAGGCACAAUACUUGGAAGAUAUACUAAGGGAGGCUUUUUCACAUCCUGCAGUUGAAGGAAUUAUCAUUUUUGGAGGACCAGAAAUUUCCGGAUUCGAUGUUAUGAACCUGGCAGAUACAGAGUUCGCAGCAACUCCUGCUGGAAAGGUUGUGGACAAGCUGAUUGAUGAGUGGAAAUCUGGGACUAGAAAACUUAGAGCAGAUAGUAGAGGACUGGCUCAAGUUUCACUCUUUCACGGAGAUUACAAGGUAGAAAUUUACCAUCCCCUGACUAACUCCUCAACUACUAUCAGUUUUAAGGUUACAAAAGAAACAGAACAUAGUACUGUCUUUGCUCAAAUCGAUGCUUGAGUUUUUGUUACAAGGUCAUCUUACGCUUGGCAAUAAAGUCAAUUUUGUUUUUCACAAGAUCUGUUACAAAAUUUUACUACAUUGGCAUGCAAAGCAAUCUUCAAACUUCAAGAUCAAAAGCUUUCUUGGAUAUCUUACCUGUACCUUGAGGCCAUGGCAUAUAAACACGCAGCUAAAUUUCAUGGAUGAUAAUUUAACAAAUGAAAAGAAAAAGGACUCCUCAUAUCAUCUGUCACUCGCAACAGAAAUUGUUAUUUGCAACGAAAAGAAGGGUAAGUUUUUCCACCGAAUUACAAGAAAAAGAAAAGCUAUGAUUCAUUGGUUUGGAAAGAAAAGAAAAAAAACAUUGGAAACCAUGUAUUAUGUAUCUACAGCGAGGAAGCUUAGUCACAAGCUGACAAAAUUCAAGAGCAGUAGGCAGCUUUCGAAGCCCUUUGAUUCAACUUCUCAUAGCUAUAAAACAUGACACAGCGGCCACAACAAGCGUGAUUGCAAAAGAACUCGCGUCAUCGAAAAUGGCAGCGAACCGCAUUUCCUGCAAAUCCCAAAGAGUGGAAACCAUGAAACGCACCCCAUCAAUAAUCAGGAACACGAUAGCCAUCCUCUGCCGAUACCAAAAGCCCUUCACAUCAAAACAUAUUACGUGGCUCUAUACCCCUUUUUUCCACAAUUUAAUUCUAAGUAGGAGAUUGGGGUAGUGCUC